GAUGAACGCUAGCGACAGGCCUAACACAUGCAAGUCGAGGGGCAGCACAUGAGUAGCAAUACGAUGGUGGCGACCGGCGCACGGGUGAGUAACGCGUAUGCAACCUACCCAUUACAGGGGAAUAACUCUCGGAAACGGGAACUAAUACCGCAUAAUACUAUCUUACCGCAUGGUGAAAUAGUUAAAGAUUUAUUGGUAAUGGAUGGGCAUGCGUGACAUUAGUUAGUUGGUAGGGUAACGGCCUACCAAGACUUCGAUGUCUAGGGGUUCUGAGAGGAAGGUCCCCCACACUGGUACUGAGACACGGACCAGACUCCUACGGGAGGCAGCAGUGAGGAAUAUUGGUCAAUGGGCGAGAGCCUGAACCAGCCAAGUCGCGUGCAGGAUGACUGCCUUAUGGGUUGUAAACUGCUUUUAUAAAGGAAUAACAACAGAAACGCGUUUCUGGAUGAAUGUACUUUAGGAAUAAGGAUCGGCUAACUCCGUGCCAGCAGCCGCGGUAACAC
rnacentral:rRNA from 1 species